CUGAGGUUUUUGGUACUUGCAGCUUAAAGCCUCCCCUUACUAUAACAGCCAUCCAUUAUUAUUUUCUUUUACAAAUGAAGAAACUGAGCAAGAAAAGCGGCUGUGAAUUUGAGGAACUCUGAAAUUAGAAUAACAGAGAUGAAGCCCGCCUUGAGAGCCUGCAGAGCCCUGGGCAUCAGUCCCCAUCUGGGUUAGCAGCAAGGUAACCAGCCUGUCUCUCUGGGCCAGUCUGCCUUCAUCAUAUAGUCAGUCAUUCUGGUGGAUGCUGGAUGGGCUCCUUCUUCAGAAACAGAUGGGGAGAGCGGCAAGACGAUAAGGGGGUUUGGAGUGAGGCUCUGGGCAUUCCCAUUUCUAACAAGCUCCCGAGUGGUGCCACGCUACUGAUCCAGGGACCACACAUGGAGAACCGCUGAUGACAGCUUCAAAAGCCAGAACCAAGUGUGUGGAAAGAGCAUGAACAGGCACGCCUCAGAGAGGACCUCCAAACUGGUUGCAUGGUGGAGCCCAAACCAUGAUCUAGAACAAAAUGGGAAUGCCCAUCCGAAUAACCUGAAGAAGAAGAAGAAAACAAAACCAAAACCAAUCUUUAGGCCUGAUAAUCACUGGUUCUGAUUUGCUAGUUUAA